rnacentral:lncRNA from 1 species
UGGAUUUUAUUUAUUCGACGGAGAGAGAGUACAAGCAGGGAGAGUAGCAGGCAAAGGGAGAAGCAGGCUCCCCAUGGAGCAGGGAGCACAUUGGUGUUGGGCUUGAUCCCAGGACCCUGGGAUCUUGAGCUGAGCUGAAGGCAGGUACUUAACUGACUGAGCCCCCACCCCAGGUGCUCCCCAGUUGUCUUUUCUAUAAUGUAUGCAUUAUCUUCCUGGAGCUAGAGAAAAUAAGAACAAUAGCAUAGAAGGAGAGAUAAGGAUAUAGCUCCUGUCUCAAAAAAACAAAACAAAACUCUAUGAAUUCUAAAACUAAACCAAGUCAAACCAAACAAUCUCUCCUUUUGCAGGACAGACACAUGAUUGGAAGCAGAAUGAGAAUUGUUCUCAUACUGUGCGCCACCAUUGAUACAAAAAUAGAGUUUGCUUCAUUUAUAUCCUGUGAUUCUUUAAAAUAAAGUUUUUAUACCAAUAGGUCUGUUUCUAAUUCUGUUAAUGUCACAUUGCUUUAAAUGGUUCUUACUUUCAGUGGAUUCCCCUUUAUCAAGGCAGAGCUUCAUUAUGUGGCAUUUUCCAUAAGAAAACAAUUGCAAGUACUGCUAAAACCUGUACAUUUAUAAAUGAGAUUGAAUGACUUGUAUGCAGACACCCAGAGCACAAGGUUAUUCUAGAACUUCCCGUUUUUUAAUCAGCAGAUGACUGCCCACCCUACUGAGUAAUGAAAUCAUGGUAGGAAGAGAAUGGUUAAGAGUUCUCUGAUUCAUCCCCUCAUUCUGAGCAAGGUUAUAUGCAUCUAAGUUCUCUUAGAGAGAUUAAAACCUUCCUUAUAUUUAAGAUUCUAUGGAAGAAAAAACAUUGAGUGCUAUGUUCUAGGAGAAAGACUGUGGCCUUACCUCUUUCUGAAUUCUAGCUUCUCCACUAACAGGCUGUAUAAUCUUGGACAAUUAUAUGACUUUCUAAAGCUGAACUAUCUGCCCCCAGUCCUCUCAUCCCAGAAUUCCUCAUUAUCUGAUGUUGGCAAUGAUUUCUAUGUAUAUUUUUGUGAAGAUAAAAAAAGGAUAGCAUAUAUGGUGAUAUACCCAGUGAAGAUUGGAACAUUGAUCUCAGGUAACCAUCAUGUUUGGAAUUUAUACAGGUUUCUGCCAUUGGGAAUGAUACCUGUUGAUCUGAGAGAUUCCCUAGAAAGGUGCCAAAGAUUCAUACAGGUAUCAAUCUACUAUUCUUAAUGAGGAGAAACAAUUGAAGUUUGAUUAAACUGGGAUCUGAGCUGUCUGAGGACAUGACCUUUUCAUAACCAUGGGUGUAAUGAAACCCUGUGGGUUGGGUAGGGCUAUGUGGAAAACUUGCAUGAGAAAAACAUAAGGGUAUCCCAGUAACAAAAGGAAGGACUGAGGAUUUAGCUCCUCUCUGAAAUUACCAGAUAGUGAAAUUAGCUGGUUGGACCAAGAUGGAUGGCCUUGAUUAAUGCUUCAUGUCAGGGAAGAAUGAAGUGGUUCUGGAUCUGUGCCACAGAAAGCUCAGGUAUUUUCAAGAGAAGGGUGUCAGUCGUGGCUGAGUAUUUCUCCAGGGUACUAAGAAUCAACUGAUCUUGGUUCAUGAUCUAAGGGGGCCAGUCGUUAUGGAUUCUCCACAAACUAUGUAAAAUUCCAUUUCUAAUUUCCCAAAACCCAUUCUCUCUUAGAAAAGCAGACUAUUACUUAUAAAUCUUAUUGUCUGUCAGAGUGUUCUUAGCUCCCGACCAUUUGCAAUCAGCUUCUAGCUUGUUUGGAGUGGCCUGAGAAAUUGAGAGGUUUCUCAAUUCUGGUGUGGGAAAUGGAAAGGAUUCAAUUCUUGGUGGUCAACAAAAGAAAAAGAAAAACACCAAAAACUGGGGAACAAUUCUCUUCAUAUCGCUGAGAAAAACACUGGCCUGGUUCUUUGGCCUCUGAUUUCAUAAAUAAGCUUCUGAAGGAUCCAAACAGCAUCAGAGCCCCUAAUUCCUGGGAAUCGUGUUUUACUUGACUUUAUUCUUACCAUUUUAAAAUGGAAGGAAUUGGUGUUUAGGGGAAGUGUUCAGUGUUUAGGGAAAGUGUUCCCCAGUUCAUCUCUGUCCCAGCUCACCAUCUGAUGUGUUCCAGAGUUACAGUUGCACAGGUUCCAGCUUUUUAAAUAUUUCUCAAUCAGGAAGACACCAUAAGGCAGAAGCUCUCCCUUGAGUCUUCACUGCUGUAAUCCAUCUUUCUCAAGCAUGCUGACAUCUUGAAGACAUAUUGGCCUACUGCCAGAUAAAUAAGAUGUGUUGGUGUGGAAGGAUGAAUGUCUCUUAUCUUGCACAGUUACCUUGGGGAUGAUAUUCAAUGUUCUCCACAUAAUUCUUAUCUUCUCAGACAUGGAUAACACUUUAAACCCCUCACUACACUUCCAUCUACAUUAUCUAAGUUGCUUCUGGACAACCUUAUACAGGUGGUGGUAGUAUGCCCUUAUUAUAGAUUUGUUAUUGGUUCUCCAAAUAGAGUUGACCUAUGCUAUGCUAGGGAUUGAGGACACAGUUUUAAAGAAGCCAUAUUCUUUGCCUUAGAAAAGAUGAUGGGCCAGUGAAGAAUAAAGCUAAGUCAAUGGGCAAUUGUAUUAUAGGGAAAUAACUGCUAUAACAGGGCUCUAUGGGAAGGCAUAAGAGAGAUAAAGUUUUGAGACUGUGGUAGAGACCCUGUUGAUAUAAACCACUUGGCCUGUACUAUAUCAGUGCAUGCUGGUCUAUGUUCUACCUGCCAGCACUUUUGUCUCUUUAGCUAAAGGGGCUUUCUUUGGUCCCUCAGGCUAUUUAUCCCUUGAUCAAUGACUGGUAGGCAUUAGUUUACAAAUAUUCCUUGCUCUUCAGAUAGCUUGGUCUAAGUACAUGCUUCCUCCUGUUUUCUAUACUUUCCCAGUUGGAUCAAGCUCCAAAACCCACAGCGGUAACUGUCUUGAUAACACUCCAUUAGUUCCCCCUUGCAUCUCACUUUGGCACUUUCUAUAUUCCUGGCAUUGCAUUCCAAAUAAACUAUUUGAAGUCUAAUCCAUGUAUCAGAGUGAGCUUCUGGAAGAAGUAAAGCAUCUUUUAAAGAUAAAAUAUAUAUUUCUAUUUAGAAUAUAUUUUUCAUUCUUUUUUUCCUUGCUUUUUGUUUUUGUUUUUAUUGAAGUUCAAUUUGCCAACAUAUAUAUGUUUUGUUCUUUAAUCCAUCCAUUUCUUUAACAAAAUUUGAGUACCUCUUACAUACUUGGCAGGAGUUUCUGAAUAUCUUGGAGGAAGAAAAUACACAUAAUUUCUGACUUCAAGGGGGUCAGAGUCUAGUGGCAGUUUGCCAAUAAAAAUAUACGUAUAGGAAGAAUCUUUGAUAACUUCAAUAAGUAAAACAAAGGAAAACACAGCUUUAGGAGUCAUUUGGAGAAAAAUAAACAAUUUUAUAAAUGUGGGCACCAGUGUAAAGAGAAGAGAAGAGGGUCCAAC